AUGGGGAGCUCCCCUCAGCUUCCCGCCCUCACAGCAGAGCUCCCCUCAGCGCCCCGCUCCUACUCCCUCACGGCGGAGCCCGCCUCAGUUUCCCGCCCUCGCGGUGGAGCUCCUCUCAGCGCCCCUCGCCACCACGGCAGCGGGGCGGGCCGCCUCCGCUCGGCAGCGCAGCUGCGGCCGGGGUUGGGGGGGAACGGGUGGCGAGGCUCGAGGGCAGCGGGUCCCUCGGCGUGCGGCAGAGGGCGCCCCGCGUUCCGCCAGAGCAGGGCCGGGAGGAGCCUCCGGCGCGGCGCGGCCGGGGAGAGAGAGGGAGAGGGAGGGACGGAGCUGCCACGUCCUCCGCGCCGAGCGGCGAGGGAAGCCAGCCCGCGCCUCAGCCCCACGUGUGGCGGAGCGGGGAAGUUGCCGGCGGCCGGCUCGGACUCUGCCCCUCUCCCCCCGCCGCCGCCGCCCGUCUUUUACCGGUUCCUUGCACAGCCCACCACUUGAAGGAGAAGGAAUUCUUCAACCUUUUGUUUCCAAAGACCUUGGACUGGUUUCCGCCGCUCAACUCCCUGUUUUGGUGAAGGCAAGAUCCAAAGAGGAGGAUGAGGCAGCUGAGAGGAAAACCCAAAAAAGAGACCUCCAAAGAUAAAAAGGAGAGAAAACAGGCGAUGCAAGAGGCCCGGCAACAGAUCACCACCGUGGUGCUUCCCACGCUGGCCGUGGUGGUGCUGCUGAUCGUCGUCUUCGUUUAUGUCGCGACUCGUCCCAAUACAACCGAAUGAUGCAGCUUUUCAGACUUUCUAGCUUUGGGGUAUUAAUAAUUUUAUCCCGAGCCAAAAGGAACUCUCUGCCACUCUUCCAGUGCUUCACCAAGGAACUCGCUGGUAUUUUCAGUCUGUCUCUUGGUUGGGGUCCCGCAGGUUCUCUUUGGGAAUGUAACAAAACGUAUUAGCGGCCGAGCCUGUACGUUUUAUGGUCCGGUUCAUGUGCCUUUCAGAACUUUCCAAUGGUGUUUUUUCUUAAAUCUGUUUGAAGCUCUAUAUUGUAAAAGGAAAUGGUGUCCUGCUAUAAAUUUGUUAAAAAAAAAUAAUAAAAAUAAAUCAGCUUUCA
rnacentral:lncRNA from 1 species